rnacentral:siRNA from 1 species
GGUGGACUGGCAAAGUGGACUGCA